rnacentral:rRNA from 1 species
AAUUAGUCCAACAAAACUAUCCGCCAGAGAACUACCAGCAACAGCUUAAAACUCAAAGGACUUGGCGGUGCUUUACAUCCCUCUAGAGGAGCCUGUUCUAUAAUCGAUAAACCCCGAUAUACCUCACCAUCUCUUGCUAAUCCAGCCUAUAUACCGCCAUCUCCAGCAAACCCUAAAAAGGAAGAAAAGUAAGCACAAGUAUCUUAACACAAAAAAGUUAGGUCAAGGUGUAGCCCAUGAGAUGGGAAGUAAUGGGCUACAUUUUCUACAACUAGAACACCCACGAAAAUCCUUAUGAAACUAAGUAUUAAAGGAGGAUUUAGUAGUAAAUCUGAGAGUAGAGAGCUCAAUUGAAUUGGGCCAUGAAGCACGCACACACCGCCCGUCACCCUCCUCAAGUGAUAACCCCAAAGAAACCUAUUCAACCACUACACCACAAGAGGAGACAAGUCGUCAACAAGGUAAGCAUACUGGAAAGUGUGCUUGGAUUAAC